rnacentral:rRNA from 1 species
CCUACGGGUGGCAGCAGUGGGGAAUAUUGCACAAUGGGGGAAACCCUGAUGCAGCAACGCCGCGUGAGUGAAGAAGUAUUUCGGCAUGUAAAGCUCUAUCAGCAGGGAAGAAAAUGACAGUACCUGACUAAGAAGCCCCGGCUAACUACGUGCCAGCAGCCGCGGUAAUACGUAGGGGGCAAGCGUUAUCCGGAUUUAAUGGGUGUAAAGGGAGCGUAGACGGCUGCGCAAGUCAGAAGUGAAAGCCCGGGGCUCAACCGCGGGACUGCUUUUGAAACUGUGUAGCUAGAGUGCAGGAGAGGUAAGUGGAAUUCCUGGUGUAGCGGUGAAAUGCGUAGAUAUUGGGAGGAACACCAGUGGCGAAGGCGGCCUGCUGGACAUUAACUGACGCUGAGGCACGAAAGCGUGGGGAGCAAACAGGAUUAGAUACCCCAGUAGUC